AGUGAACGCUGGCGGUAGGCCUAACACAUGCAAGUCGAGCGGCAGCACAGUAAGAGCUUGCUCUUACGGGUGGCGAGUGGCGGACGGGUGAGGAAUACAUCGGAAUCUACUUUUUCGUGGGGGAUAACGUAGGGAAACUUACGCUAAUACCACAUACGACCUACGGGUGAAAGCAGGGGAUCUUCGGACCUUGCGCGAUUGAAUGAGCCGAUGUCGGAUUAGCUAGUUGGCGGGGUAAAGGCCCACCAAGGCGACGAUCCGUAGCUGGUCUGAGAGGAUGAUCAGCCACACUGGAACUGAGACACGGUCCAGACUCCUACGGGAGGCAGCAGUGGGGAAUAUUGGACAAUGGGCGCAAGCCUGAUCCAGCCAUACCGCGUGGGUGAAGAAGGCCUUCGGGUUGUAAAGCCCUUUUGUUGGGAAAGAAAAGCAGCAGGUUAAUACCCCGCUGUUCUGACGGUACCCAAAGAAUAAGCACCGGCUAACUUCGUG
rnacentral:rRNA from 1 species